ensembl:lncRNA
UUUGCAAAUCUCUCCUCGAAGUCAAAUUUCCCUUGCUUUUUUGAAUUUCAUGCUGCUCCUUAGCAUGAUUUUAACCUUCGUUUGCAUAUGACUUAAGGAUGUCAGCGCAGGAGAGGGACUUCAACAAACUGAAAUGAAUUGUUUCUACUUGCUCUCCAGAUCACGGUUUUUAAUGAACGCCUAAUUUAUUUUUUCCCUUGGAGGUCAUUUAAAAAAAAGCACUCAAAGCGCUGGUAGUAAUUAGGACAGCUCCGUUUGAUGUUGCAAAGGGUGUGUGGCUGGUGGGUGAGGGAGGAGCUGGCAGAGGUCUGGGGAGAGCUUAGCGAAGGAUGAUGGGGUUGGCAAAGGAGGAGAGUGAAGACACCAUUUCAGCCUGUUGAAGACAUAAUCUCUUAAUGUAGCUGGAGGAAGAGAAAAUUGUUAGGGAAGGAGAGGAACGGAUGAAUACAAGGAGAUUUAAUGAGUGGUAAUAUGAUGAAAGGGCAAAAAUGAUAAAAAUGACUGAAAGGAUGUCAGCCCCAUUAGGUUGCCUGGAGUUUUACCAUUUUUACCACUUAGGCCCUUAUGGGUAGAUUUGAUAAAGCUCAAAAUCUCAGUUUUGGAUCAGACAGCAUCUUCCUUGUCUGACCUUGGUCCGGUCACACCCUCACCGCAAUUGAAUUAUAGCACCAUCAUUUAUAACAUAAAAUCAGCUUAAAUAUCAGCUGUUUGUUCUUUUAAGGCAUUAAGCAAAGCCCACGGAAAUGCCUGGAAGGACUCCCAUCGAUCUCAGCGAGUUACUGUCCUUCCUCCCUCUCUGGAGAACCAUGUAAAGGCAAAGGAAGAAUGCAUUUGCUGUCACGUUUUCUUCUCUCUAUCCUCCUAAAUCCCUUUGUAAACUUAACAUACAUCAGAGAAACCGUUUUGUAUUGGUUAUCCAGACAGCUUCCCUAAAACCUGAGCCGAGGACAAGCAAAUGAGGCACAGCUCCACAAGCCAUCACAUGAAGCAAUCUGGCUUCGCCCGCGCUGCUCCGUCCCAGGAAGAGGCUGUCAUUUGGCUGCAUUCAUAUUGGACAUUUGUUAUUGGAGGAACAGAGACACGAUGGAACGUCGCCAUGAGAUCCAUGUCUCUUGUUUUUAAAAUAAACAUCUUGGCUUUGACUUGACGUUUAUUUUCCAUAAAUGCCUCAGCUUUAAUUUGGCAUUUCUGUGGCAGCGGGAGACUGUUUUCCUGUGACAACAUGCAAUUCCAUUGACAUUAUCUCUUGAUUACAUGUGACAGCGCUCCAAGCACAGUAUAGAAUUGCUUUGAGUUGAACAAUGCCAUGAAAAUGUAAUCCAAGUGGAUUUAAUACCAGAAGAGGACGUACUUUCCAGCCCCAUUCCAUUGGUGUGAGACCAUGGAGACACGAGACACUGCAUCAUCUUAGAAGGAGAAUCGCUGAGGAGAAGGUGCAAAAGAGUUAAAUGGCAGCUCUUGGUGGAAGGCUGAGCUCAGGACCCACGCGUGCUGGAAGGAGACUAUUGAAGCAGGACAACCUCUGCAUGUGGAGCCACAUGAAAUGCUUGGCCUCGUCGACUGGACAGCCAAAGGGAAGUUACGGGCUGACAACAGAUGCGAGUGGAAAGAAAGGCUUAGCCAAGAGGUGAGAGGCACCGGCAUGGUGCACAUCCAUGAGGACCUUGAGCAUCUUCCUGUGUGCUUUGAGACAAUGGCAGCUACGGUCCUCCUGCCCCUUACUGCUGGGUUACACCAGGGCUGCAGUGACCCUUCUCAACGAA